GCAGUGAAAUGCGUAGAGAUGUGGAGGAAUACCGAUGGCGAAGGCAGCCUCCUGGGAUAACACUGACGUUCAUGCUCGAAAGCGUGGGUAGCAAACAGGAUUAGAUACCCUGGUAGUCCACGCCCUAAACGAUGUCAAUUAGCUGUUGGGCAACUUGAUUGCUUAGUAGCGUAGCUAACGCGUGAAAUUGACCGCCUGGGGAGUACGGUCGCAAGAUUAAAACUCAAAGGAAUUGACGGGGACCCGCACAAGCGGUGGAUGAUGUGGAUUAAUUCGAUGCAACGCGAAGAACCUUACCUGGUCUUGACAU
rnacentral:rRNA from 1 species